UGCUGAUUAAAGUCUCCCUUUUUUCUUCAAAAAUUACUAAAUGAAUGACUUCUUAUGUGAAGCCUAUGGCAUGUGUGCCCGCGUGUGUUUAUUAAGAAAGGUAUGAGAGAACGUGUGUUUUUCUUUAUAGCAAAAUGGACUUUUCUGGAUUUGAUCUCCCACAAAAGGUCUACGGGGACUAAUAAUAUGGUAUAUUUGCUACAGGAGAAAAUUCUGAAUUAACCUUAAAGGAAGUGUCUUUGGAAUCUGAAUGCAGAAUCGGUGAAUGAGCAGUGUCAGUGUUGCACCAUGCACAGUUCCUGGAUUGGCUGUAAUUAAGUCUUGGCCUGAGGUGAACCCCCCCCCGAAAUGCAGGACUACUUCACCAGAUAGCUUUGGAUGUGGACUCAGGUGGAGUCAGAGCUAAGGACAGAUGGACACGGGGACGUUACAAGGCUAGACAGUUAGGUGAGAGAUAAGUACUGAGGAUUGUAUAACCUGAUCUGUGCAUUGUGAAUUUAUAGUCAGUGUUCCCAAGUGUGUCAUUGUAUAUAGGGGUUGUCUGCUUCUGCCUCAUCUGUAGAUGUCUGUCUAAUAAAAAUGUGUCAGGCCUGUCUGGGGCUUUGUUUUAGGCUAAAUUACACCUCCUGCCUAUUGUUACUGCUGAAUCGUGGCAGACCCCCAAAAAACUUAGUACAUUUGAGUAGUUUCUAAGCAUGAAUUUUUUAAUGUUAUUCUUCUCCAACGAGGAGGAAUCACAGAGAUUGGCACUCGUUUUUAAGGUUUUUUAUUUAAUAGCUUCCAUUAUGAAAAUAUGUGCAACUUCCGAUGAAAUUUGCGGCUCUAUAUUUAAUAUUUCUGUCAAUAAUCAAAUUUAGUGUAAACAGCAGUGCAUUUUUUCAUAGUUAUAAGGAAGACAUAAGUGUGUGCCUUCAAGGGAAACUGCAGCAAUAUAAUAACAUCAAAAUCUACAGUAGGUCUGUGUCAGCCAUUGGUUUUCAUUUCAAACUGCAGACU